rnacentral:rRNA from 1 species
UACAGAGGUCCCAAGCGUUGUUCGGAUUCACUGGGCGUAAGGGGUGCGUAGGUGGCGAGGGUAAGUCGGGAUGUGAAAGCUCGGAGCUCAACUCCGAAAUGGCAUUGGGAAACUACCUUGCUCGAGGGGUUGGGAGGGGGGGGACUGGAAUUCUCGGGUGUAGCAGUGAAAUGCGUAGAUAUCGGAAGGGAACACCAGUGGCGAAGGCGGCUACCUGGCCUAAUACUGACACUGAGGCACGAAAGCGUGGGGAGCAAACAGG